AUGAGUUCUCCCUGAGACUUUAAGUCUCCUGAAGGAACGUUAAAGACGAUGACGUUGAUAGGCCGGGUGUGUAAGCGCAGCGAUGCGUUGAGCUAACCGGUACUAAUGAACCGUGAGGCUUAACCUUACAACGCCGAAG
rnacentral:rRNA from 2 species